AACACGGUAUCUGCUGCUUUCAGGGAGCUUGCAGUCUAUCCAGUGACACUGGACGCAAACGUAGGAAACAAUCAGUGGAUAGCACAAGGCAUUCAAUAAAUAAGGAUGGGACAGGAGUUGGGAAGAGAGAGAAAGACAAAGCUACUGGACUCUUUCAGAGAAGACUUGAGGCUGUAGGGUGUCAUCUGGGGGAAUUUGAAUAGGUUGAGGAAGAGAAAUGGUUUAUUAGGCUGGGAUUUAGCAAGAGAAAAGCCACCAACUAGAAGAAAAUGAAUUGAGUAUCUAUACGCCAGGUGUUUCUUAAAAAAUUAAGAUCUUUACCUGCAUGAGCUAAAUUAAUUCUAAUAAUAACCAUGUGACAAGGUAUUUUAGCUCCCAUUUUAGAGGUGAGCAAAAUGAGUCUUCAGGGUAUAAGUAAUUUGCUCAAGAUCCCACGGAAGGAAGCUGCUAAACUGGGAUUGUCUUGGGGACAUGGCAGCAGUCUGUCUGUCCAUUUCCCUUCCUUCAAAUUAAAGCAGUGGGAGCCCUGGUCACCUGCUGCUUGCAUGUUCUUGCCUGGUGAGCGGAGAGCUGAAUGGGAAAAUUUAGGUAUGAAAACAAAAAUGCAUCUGGACGUUUUCUGAGCUUCAGAGCCGACGAGGAAGGGGAGGGUUGGGCAUGUUGACGUCCCCUGCAGUGACUGCCACCCCUGAGGUCCUGCUGCCCCUCGAGCUCCCCACACCUCCGCCGCGUGGCCGGGGAUCCUGGGUAGGGGGUCUUCUUCCUCUAGUCAAAGACAGUCUGCACACAGGCUCUGCUCCCUGGACAGGCCCCAGGAUGUUUUCUACUCAGAGAGGAGUCUAGGAACCCGUGGCAGAUGGCCAGUGUUCUCCAAAGCUGUCUUCUUUUCUCCCUGGAUGUGAAGUCACUCAUCUAGAGGCUUUACUUCCCAGCUUCCCUGUCUGGACCUAAGAUUACAUUUUUGCCCAUAAAAUGUAAGCAGAACUGAUGGGAACAGCUCCUGUUUUCUGUCUUCACUGGGCAUCGCUCUUCCUAGUCUCUCUCUCUUUCUCCCCGUGGGCUGGAACCUGGAUGUGCUGGCGACCCCCAUUAAACCGAGCAGAUGCGCGGUACCCCGCAGGACAGCGGGACGACGAUAGGGAAAUAAUCUGGAUCUCUUCAUCACCGUGUGAAACGGAGCACCCUGCCAGCCUGGACCGUCCACUCCACAGAGUUAUGUGAAAGAGAAAGCAAUUCGAUCAUAAGCUGUUGAGUUCACAAGGAGUGUCUGUGUGCGGAGGGGGCAGACAAGUCACCUGAUUACUGUAUAAGGUCACCUCUAUUGCUUUCUGGAGAAAGGACCCUGAAAAGAGGAGUGAUAUCAGGAUCUGAAACAGACCGAGUGAAGUAUAUUGCGAGACUCCUUUUGUUGG